CAGCCAUUCUCUCCACUUUCAUCAGUCACCUCUUUUUCUCUGUCGUUUGGCUAAACAGGACUCCCUUCUCUCUUCUCUGGUCGUCUUCCAUGAAUGGAGAUCGAAGUCGCAGGCUAUGCAAGGAUUGAAGAGGCUUCUUGAAGAUCUCUGUCUUCUCUAGUAGCUUAUUGGUUCAAAAGAGUUCUCAUUGAAGAGUUGGUAAAUAUGAGAAAUUAUUCAAUGCUCGUGGAGCAAUGGUAAAUAGCAAUUCAGGUUGUUCUGAAUCAAGUUCCUUCAAGUUGUUCUCAAUCAACAAUCGAC